CUUUCUCCGACUUUCUAGGACGUGUUUUAUGCCACUCCUUUUUCUGUCUCAUUUUGUCCACCAAACUUGGAAUGUUGUGCGUGAAUGCAAAAGAGCCCUUCUUGGGAGGGCACACAUGGAAAUGCCUGUUAUACCCAUUGGGAUCUUUUACUGCUUCCAUAAAUAGAUCCAAAGUUAGGAAAAUUUGGAUGGUCGGCAGCUUGGAUCAGUGGGAGGUCAACGCAUCUGCACAGAGACGCCAUUCUACACGACAAAACAGAUGGAAACUUGGAAAAGCAUGGAAAUCUACAACUUCUUUUGUGUGUGGCUCGGUCAAGGUAAAUAUGCAUUGUUUUUGCUCGGGUAAGGUUGUAUUUUAUGAUUUAACUUUGCAUCUACUGCCAUGUUUGUUGCCGUUGCACGCGCUGUUUACGGGUAGCGUGUUUUCCCAGUUUUAAUCAAAAUAUAACUAUACAUGUCAACAUUGCGUAUGUGCUGAAAGCUUCCUUUAUGAUUGUUGCCUUUGGUAAAAGCUUAACUCUUUUGGGUUUUGCACACAUUUGCUUUCUUUUAUUUAGUCUCGCCGAGUUGGUGCUUUUCGAAACACUCGUCGCGUUCCAUAUCCACAGUAUAUAUUAUAUAUAAUGCUUGAUCUUAGCGCCGCUUUCGAUACCGUCGAUCAUAAUAUUUUAUUAGAGCGUAUCAAAACACGUAUUGGUAUGUCAGACUUAGCCUUGUCUUGGUUUAACUCUUAUCUUACUGACAGGAUGCAGUGCGUCUCCCAUAACAAUGUGACC